rnacentral:rRNA from 1 species
UACGUAGGGUGCAAGCGUUGUCCGGAAUUAUUGGGCGUAAAGAGCUCGUAGGCGGUCUGUCGCGUCUGCUGUGAAAAUCCAGGGCUCAACCCUGGACCUGCAGUGGGUACGGGCAGACUAGAGUGCGGUAGGGGAGAUCGGAAUUCCUGGUGUAGCGGUGAAAUGCGCAGAUAUCAGGAAGAACACCCGUGGCGAAGGCGGCUCUCUGGGACGGUACUGACGCUGAGACGCGAAAGCGUGGGGAGCGAACAGG